UUACGUAGGUGGCAAGCGUUAUCCGGAUUUAUUGGGCGUAAAGCGAGCGCAGGCGGUUGCUUAGGUCUGAUGUGAAAGCCUUCGGCUUAACCGAAGAAGGGCAUCGGAAACCGGGCGACUUGAGUGCAGAAGAGGACAGUGGAACUCCAUGUGUAGCGGUGGAAUGCGUAGAUAUAUGGAAGAACACCAGUGGCGAAGGCGGCUGUCUGGUCUGCAACUGACGCUGAGGCUCGAAAGCAUGGGUAGCGAACAGGAUUAGAUACCCUGGUAGUCCAUGCCGUAAACGAUGAGUGCUAGGUGUUGGAGGGUUUCCGCCCUUCAGUGCCGGAGCUAACGCAUUAAGCACUCCGCCUGGGGAGUACGACCGCAAGGUUGAAACUCAAAGGAAUUGACGGGGGCCCGCACAAGCGGUGGAGCAUGUGGUUUAAUUCGAAGCUACGCGAAGAACCUUACCAGGUCUUGACAUCUUGCGCUAACCUAAGAGAUUAGGCGUUCCCUUGGGGACGC
rnacentral:rRNA from 1 species